AACAUAUUCUCAUUAAUUUUAAGUUUUAAUAAUUUAAUAAAAAAUAUUGAUCUUGUAAAUCAAAA
rnacentral:tRNA from 1 species